UACGUAGGGCGCAAGCGUUGUCCGGAAUUAUUGGGCGUAAAGAGCUCGUAGGCGGUUUGUUGCGUCGGCCGUGAAAACCUGCAGCUUAACUGUGGGCCUGCGGCCGAUACGGGCAGACUUGAGUUCGGUAGGGGAGACUGGAAUUCCUGGUGUAGCGGUGAAAUGCGCAGAUAUCAGGAGGAACACCGGUGGCGAAGGCGGGUCUCUAGGCCGACACUGACGCUGAGGAGCGAAAGCGUGGGGAGCGAACAGG
rnacentral:rRNA from 1 species